UCUCCGUUGGUGAACCAGCGGAGGGAUCAUUACCGAGUUGCAAAACUCCCAACCCAUGACUAUAUACCUAUUUUGGUCUUUCGGCAGGCGGCCCCGGGGAGGGGUCUCAGCCUAUGGCGCCUGCCAGAGGGACCACUUCAUACUCUUUUACGUAUCUAUGAGUCUAAAGACAAAUAUUAAAAUUUUCAAUUGUGGAUCUCUUGGUUCUG
rnacentral:misc_RNA from 1 species